UGUGCUUUCCAAAACCAUUCUUCCCUCUACAACUCCUUCCACCAUUAACAUAUCUCCUUCUUCUACCAUCAAUUCCUACACCAACAAAUUCAUAUAUUAAUUAUAUCAUAUAUAUUACAUACUAAAUAAAUAUACAUAUAUAUUAAUUCUACUAUUAUUAAGAAAAUAAAUAAUUAAUUAAACCAUGAUUUAACAGUGAAGAAUCACCUAGACCAAAGUCACAUAACAAAAUCAAAUAUUUACAUCGUCCUAAUUGUCGCUGAUGAAUUCAAUCUCAUCCUCAUCCUCAUCCUCAUUCAUCGGUCAGAGAAUUCAAGCCAACUUGUAACUCUUUUUUCAUAAAUAUGGUCUGCAUCUUUUUUGGGUGAAUUGUUUUGAUCAACAACUUUACUGUUCCGAUCCUAUAAUAGAUGAAAUAAAUUAAAAAAUAAAAGAAAACACAGGCAAGUGAAAGUGAUUCUAUAAGUCGGCCUCACCUCAUUCUAUUCCAUUAAUCAAAAAGAAGUUAUCCCACCAAAAAAGAAAAGAAAAAUAGCACAAAUAUGAAACUAUAAAAGAGAAAACAAAACUCAAUUAUCCACAGAACCAUAUCUAAUUUACCAACAAUUAGUAAGAACAUAGAACAUACUUCCAGUAAAAUAAGGUCCAUGAAUUCCGGAAUCGAAAAAAGGCUAGAACAUUACUGAGAGCCUGCAUGAGGGGUAUCAAUGACUAAUAGAAAUAAAUUACUUAGAUCUCAGCCUCAUUUUCCGAUGCUUCCUCUUCAACCUCCUCAUUCUUUUCUUCUUCGGCUGCAAAAUCAUAUCCAAUUUCAAACGAUCAAUUGAACACUAUGAAUAAUCACCUAGACCAACCAAACCAUAUACCAAAAAUAUACUCAAAUGAACCUUACAACUUACCUAAACUGAAGAAAACAGGACAGAGAAACGUAGCAAUUUACCUUUAAAUUCCUCCACAGAGAAGCAAAGGUGUCAUACAUGCUCUAAACACCAACUCUUCUGUAAGUGGUGCCUGUUUGAUUAAGUAAAAUUCUCAAAGUUUAAAUAACAACCAAAACGAUAACUGGCAACUGGAAAAUAACAAUCAGUGAAAUCAGAAACUUGUAAUCCAUGUGAAAAGUUUAAGUAAAGUAAGAAGACAAAACUUCUGGUUUACAUUCCUCUUUAAGUAUCCUAAACCAAUUUAUUACUAAUUUGAUCACCACCACUUGUAUUGAUUGAUGGGUUACCAAACUAUUUUCAUGGGUUAGAUAAAAAUUUAUAUUUAUUGCAAGAAGAACUUCCAUUGGAAGUUGGUCACGAUAACGGUAGGCAAAAGUUUUUUGCCGAAUUAUUUGCAGCUUUCAGUUCAAUUCAAUACUUGCCUGAGAAGGUAUGAAUAACUUGGUAACACAACAAUUCAGUAGAGAAAAAAAAAGGGAUUUCCAUAAGUACCAAUUCAGUAACAUAAUGAAAUUAAAAAUCCUAUCACGGGUAAAGAAUUCUAGGUACAUUCAGAAACAACGAAAAUACCAUUGCCAUCACCAAAUAGGCCGUGUUUUUAAGAAAAAAUUUACAUGCUAAUAUUGGCCCACUAUUCAAAUUAGAUGUGCAAAACAUGCAUUUUUGCUAUUGUUGAGUGGAUAUGUUGCCCAUGAAUUAGGCGGAUGCUCUAAGAGUUUAGGAUGGUCUUGAUUCCAAAAACACAAAAUAUGGAUCUUUGUAUAUGCAUGCACAUUACAGAUGCUAUCAGUAACAUAAUAAAAAAAAGGGAUUUCCAUAAGUACCAAUUCAGUAACAUAAUGAAAUUAAAAAUCCUAUCACGGGUAAAGAAUUCUAGGUACAUUCAGAAACAACAAAAAUACCGUUGCCAUCACCAAAUAGGCCGUGUUUUUAAGAAAAAAUUUACAUGCCAAUAUUGACCCACUAUUUAAAUUAGAUGUGCAUAACAUGCAUUUUUGCUAUUGUUGAGUGGAUAUUUUGCCCAUGAAUUAGGCGGAUGCUCUAAGAGUUUAGGAUGGUCUUGAUUUCAAAAACACAAAAUGCAUCUUUGUAUAUGCGUGCACAUUACAGAUGAUAUCAUCAAUGCAGAUAAGCACAAUAAUCACAGACUACAGUUCAUAGGCUAGAAUAUAAGCCUAUAAAAUGGUGAUUGAAAUCAAAGUUGCACUAAACCUUAAUUACUUACCUGCAGUAUCUCAAAAUCCAAGGUUAACAGUAUUCUCAUUCACUACCACAUUAGCACUAAAGUUGUCAAAAAAUGUAGGUGCAUAAUCCUAUGAUCAAAUUAAAAGGAAAAAAUAAAAUAAAACUAAUCCAUGCCUCAACACUGAUUAGGCCAUCCUUAAUUAGGCCAUCCCUCAACACUGAUUUUCCUCCAAUCUUUACAGAUAUACAGUUAAAAAAUCACAUUCAGAACAUUAAUUAAAUAAAUUAUUGAAAAAACUGUCAUACAUGGAAUUAGCUAUAAAUACCUGUUGGAUGCAAUUUGUAGCAAUCCUACACAAUAUAUACAAAUUGGCAUAUUAAAAAAUUGAAUCAACUGAUAAUAACUCAAGAAAUAUGUUAAGGAAUGGAAUCAAUAAAGUACAUAGCUUUGGAGGCAAGGUUUGCUGCAAAACGAUACAUAUAUUUUUGUAAUUGUUGAAGAAACUUUGAGGUAAUGCACGGGAAAAAUAAUUCAAUCCGUUAUUUUUUCUGAAUCUAAGGAAGACAAGUCAACAAAUUUAUGACCAUAUUUGAAUGAAAAUGUGAAUGUUAUCCUCAAAUAUAUCAAUCAUCUGAGGCAUAUGAACAGAUUUGAAAGAUCCAAAAUAAAUCAGUGAAUUAUGUGGAAAACAUACAUAUUUGCUAACUCAUGUUGCAUCCGGUUUCCCUCCUAGCUAAGAAUAUGUUCGAUGCACGGAUCAAAAGACUUCCCAAAUCUAUACGACUACCAACAGCAAUUC
rnacentral:lncRNA from 1 species